rnacentral:rRNA from 1 species
UACGGGGGGGGCAAGUGUUAUUCAAUUUAACUGGGCGUAAAGCGUCUGUAGGCGGCACGUUCCGUUAUUCGGUAAAGAUUAAAGCUUAACUUUAAACCGCGGAUAAAACGUACGUUGCUAGAGUCAUAGAGAGGAGAGUAGAAUUUCUGAAGUAGGGAUGAAAUCCUGUCACAUCAGAAGGAAUACCAAUGGCGAAGGCAACUCUCUGGCUAUGUCUGACGCUGAGAGACGAAGGCGUGGGGAGCGAAUGGG